UACGGGGGGAGCUAGCGUUUUUCGGAAUUACUGGGCGUAAAGGGUGCGUAGGCGGCCAAUAAAGUUGAAAGUGAAAUCCCCGGGCUUAACCUGGGAACUGCUUUCAAAACUCAUUGGCUAGAGGACGAUAGAGGACAGUGGAACUCCUAGUGUAGAGGUGAAAUUCUUAGAUAUUAGGAGGAACACCAGAGGCGAAGGCGGCUGUCUGGAUCGUUUCUGACGCUGAGGCACGAAAGCGUGGGGAGCAAACAGG
rnacentral:rRNA from 1 species